UGGCCAUUUAACAUCUCGUUAUUUUUAAAAGACCUUUUUCGGAAGGUAUGCUUAAAGAGGGGCUUGCGUCACAUUAGUUAGUUGGCAGGGUAAAGGCCUACCAAGACUAUGAUGUGUAGCUGGACUGAGAGGUUGAACAGCCACAUUGGGACUGAGACACGGCCCAAACUCCUACGGGAGGCAGCAGUAGGGAAUUUUCGGCAAUGGAGGAAACUCUGACCGAGCAACGCCGCGUGAACGAUGAAGUAUUUCGGUAUGUAAAGUUCUUUUAUUGAAGAAGAAAAAAUAGUGGAAAAACUAUCUUGACGAUAUUCAAUGAAUAAGCCCCGGCAAACUAUGUGCCAGCAGCCGCGGUAAUACAUAGGGGGCGAGCGUUAUCCGGAAUUAUUGGGCGUAAAGGGUGCGUAGGCGGUUUAAUAAGUCUAUAGUUUAAUUUCAGUGCUUAACACUGUCCUGCUAUAGAAACUAUUAGACUAGAGUGAGAUAGAGGCAAGUGGAAUUCCAUGUGUAGCGGUAAAAUGCGUAAAUAUAUGGAGGAACACCAGAGGCGUAGGCGGCUUGCUGGGUCUUUACUGACGCUGAGGCACGAAAGCGUGGGGAGCAAACAGGAUUAGAUACCCUGGUAGUCCACGCCGUAAACGAUGAGUACUAAGUGUCGGGAUUACUCGGUACUGAAGUUAACACAUUAAGUACUCCGCCUGAGUAGUACGUACGCAAGUAUGAAACUUAAAGGAAUUGACGGGACUCCGCACAAGCGGUGGAUCAUGUUGUUUAAUUCGAAGAUACACGAAAAACCUUACCAGGUCUUGACAUACUCUGCAAAGCUAUAGCAAUAUAGUGGAGGUUAUCAGGGAUACAGGUGGUGCAUGGUUGUCGUCAGCUCGUGUCGUGAGAUGUUAGGUUAAGUCCUAAAACGAGCGCAACCCUUGUCAUUAGUUGCCAGCAUGUCAUGAUGGGCACUUUAAUGAGACUGCCAAUGAAAAAUUGGAGGAAGGUGAGGAUCACGUCAAAUCAUCAUGCCCCUUAUGAUCUGGGCUACAAACGUGAUACAAUGGCUGUUACAAAGAGUAGCUGAAACGCAAGUUUAUAGCCAAUCUCAUAAAAGCAGUCUCAGUUCGGAUUGAAGUCUGCAACUCGACUUCAUGAAGUUGGAAUCGCUAGUAAUCGCGAAUCAGCAUGUCGCGGUGAAAUCCGCCCCU
rnacentral:rRNA from 1 species